GGUAAAUCUUUCGCCUUGUCCACAACGCUUCGUACGCAUGAAAAGGUGCACACUAACGAAAAACCCUUCAAGUGUGAGCCCUGUAACAAAUCUUUCAAACUACCUCACCAGCUAAAGUCCCACUUACUUACAAACCAACAUAAAAACAUUCUGAUGGCUAGUGAGUUGGGGAACUUGGAUUAUGAAAAAUGUAUUUAAAUAAAAAUCUUAGUUAUUACUUA